UUGAGAAGGAGCCUGAGAGACGGCUACUACAUCUAAGGAAGGCAGCAGGCGCGCAAAUUUCCCAAUGCUCAUCGAGCGAGGAAGUGACGAUCAAUAACAAUGUGCGACUCUUUAUGGGUUGUGCAAUUGGAAUGACUACAAUUUAAAGCGUUUAAGGAGGAUCAAUUGGAGGGCAAGUCUGGUGCCAGCAGCCGCGGUAAUUCCAGCUCCAAUAGAUAUAUCAAAGUUGCUGCAGUUAAAAAGCUCGUAGUUGAAUUUCUGGUGGGUGGAUGUGUUUUUAUUUGAGGGAGUCAUCCCUUUUCUAGGAAUGCCCCCUGCCAUAUUGGGGAAUGAUGUUGAGUUUAGCUCGUUUACUCGGGUUGAAUUCAAUACCCCUCCGUCACUGAGAGCAAAUUGGAGUGCUCAAAGCAGGCUUGAUAGCUUUGAACAUUUUAGCUUGGAAUGACAAGAUAUGACUAUUGUUUUAUUUUGUUGGUUAUGAAAUGAGAGUAAUGAUUAACAGGAACAGUUGCGGGGGUACUCGUAUUGAAAGGUCAGAGGUGAAAUUCUUGGAUUCUUUCAAGACGAACGACUGCGAAAGCAUUUACCAAGGAUGUUUUCAUUAAUCAAGAACGAAAGCUCGGGGAUCGAAGAUGAUUAGAUACCAUCGUAGUCCGACGCCAUAAACGAUGCCGACUCGGGAUUGUUUUGUAUUCAUAUUUAAAAGAAGCAAAGCAGCACCGUAUGAGAAAUCAAAGUCUUUGGGUUCCGGGGGGAGUAUGGUCGCAAGGCUGAAACUUAAAGGAAUUGACGGAAGGGCACACCAGAGGUGGAGCCUGCGGUUUAAUUUGACCCAACACGGGGAAACUUACCAGGUCCAGACAUGAUGAGGAUUGACAGUUUGAAAGCACUUUCUUGAUUUCAUGGAUGGUGGUGCAUGGCCGUUCUUAGUUGGUGGAGUGAUUUGUCUGGUUGAUUCCGAUAACGAACGAGACGGGGAGAGUUUACUAGUUUGGGUUUAACUCACGUUAGAUCAAGCUUCUUUACUCGACAACUUGGUUUUACCAAGGGGAAGCGCCCCGCAAUAACAGGUCUGUGAUGCCCUUAGAUGUUCUGGGCUACACGCGCGCUACAAUGACGAGUUCAACGAGUUUUUUUCAUAAAUCCUUGCCCGGAAGGGUGUGGGUAAUCUUUUCAAUGCUCGUCGUGAUGGGGCUAGAUUUUUGCAAUUAUUAAUCUUCAACGAGGAAUCUCUAGUAUGUGCAAGUCAUCAGCUUGCGCAGAAUGCGUCCCUGCCCUUUGUACACACCGCCCGUCGCACCUACCGAUUGGACGAUCCGGCAAGAUGUUUGGAGUUGUGAUGUUAGACUGUUUCGGCAGUUUGAAAUCGCGGCGAAGCUCUUCAAACCUUAUCGUCUAGAGGAAGGUGAAGUCGUAACAAGGUC
rnacentral:rRNA from 1 species